UAAAAACACUGGCUGGCU
rnacentral:misc_RNA from 1 species